UACGAGUGCCUCAAGCGUUAUCCGGAAUUACUGGGCGUAAAGUGUGCGCAGGUGGCCGCGCAAGUCGAGUGUGAAAUCCCCGAGCUUAACUUGGGAAUUGCGCUCGAAACUACGUGGCUCGAGUGUGGCAGAGGAAGGUGGAAUUCCACGUGUAGCGGUGAAAUGCGUAGAGAUGUGGAGGAACACCGAUGGCGAAGGCAGCCUUCUGGGCCAACACUGACGCUCAUGCACGAAAGCGUGGGGAGCAAACAGG
rnacentral:rRNA from 1 species